GUUACAGUCCCUGCUGCGCCACCGCUGAAGCUCUGGGCCCACGAUGUUACAGUCCCUGCUGCGCCACCGCUGAAGCUCUGGGCCCACGAUGUUACAGUUCUUGUAGCGCCACCGCUGAAGCUCUGGGCCCGACUCCGGGAAAGUCCGCACCAAACCAGCUCUAAGACGGCGAGGACGGAGGCGAAGAAGCAACAAGGAAGAAAGUCGCAUCUCCCAUGAGGAGCCAAUUACAGGAACUGCUUUGAGAGGAAGGAAUUCAGGAAGUGGAGAUAAUAAUGAAGAUGUGGAUCAUUAACAGCUUUGAUUUCUAUUUUCUUUUGUAUAUCAUGGAUACUCUCUUAAAGAAAAUAAUUUACUCGUGGAAAUUUAACUUUGGUGUAUGCAUUAUUAAUCAUACUGAUUACUUACAAAUACACCAUGUUGAAUAAAAGCAUAAUGAUGAAUGUUGGCUAAACUUUACUUUAAUUCAUUCACAACUUGAGGUCCUUUUAAUGGAGAUAUGUGGGGCAAGUCUUUUACAUAGGGAUGGAGGGUGGUGAGUUACUGGAACAUGAUGCCAGGGGUUGUCAUGGAGACAGAUAUAAUACUGGGGUUUAAGAAACUUUUGGAUAGGCACAGUGAAUGGAGGGAUAUGGAUUAUAUACAGGUAACCAUAUAACCAUAUAACCAUAUAACAAUUACAGCACGGAAACAGGCCAUCUCGACCCUUCCAGUCCGUGCUGAACACGUAUUCUCCCCUAGUCCCAUACACCUGCGUUCAGACCAUAACCCUCCAUACUUUCCCGUCCAUAUAACUAUCCAAUUUAUUUUUAAAUGAUAAAAACGAACCUGCCUCCACCACCUUCACUGGAAGCUCAUUCCACACAGCCACCACUCUCUGAGUAAAGAAGUUCCCCCUCAUGUUACCCCUAAACUUCUGUCCCUUAAUUCUCAAGUCAUGUCCCCUUGUUUGAAUCUUCCCUACUCUCAGUGGGAAAAGCUUAUCCACGUCAACUCUGUCUAUCCCUCUCAUCAUUUUAAAGACCUCUAUCAAGUCCCCCCUUAACCUUCUGCGCUCCAAAGAAUAAAGCCCUAACUUGUUCAACCUUUCUCUGUAACUUAGUUGCUGAAACCCAGGCAACAUUCUAGUAAAUCUCCUCUGUACUCUCUCUAUUUUGUUGACAUCCUUCCUAUAACUAGGCGACCAAAAUUGUACACCAUACUCAUACACCAUUGGCCUCACCAAUGCCUUGUACAAUUUUAACAUUACAUCCCAACUUCUAUACUCAAUGCUCUGAUUUAUAAAGGCCAGCACACCAAAAGCUUUCUUUACCACCCUGUCUACAUGAGAUUCCACUUUCAGGGAACUGUGCACAGUUAUUCCCAGAUCCCUCUGUUCACCUGCAUUCUUCAAUUCCCUACCAUUUACCAUGUACGUCCUAUUUUGAUUUGUUCUGCCAAGAUGUAGCACCUCACACUUAUCAGCAUUAAACUCCAUCUGCCAUCUUUCAGCCCACUCUUCCAACUGGCAUAAAUCUCUCUGUAGACUUUGAAAAUCUACUUCAUCAUCCACAACCCCACCUAUCUUAGUAUCAUCUGCAUACUUACUAAUCCAAUUUACCACACCAUCAUCCAGAUCAUUGAUGUACAUGACAAACAACAGUGGACCCAACACAGAUCCCUGUGGCACCCCACUAGUUACUGGCCUCCAACCUGACAAACAACCAUCCACCAUUACUCUCUGGCAUCUCCCAUUCAGCCACUGUUGAAUCCAUCUUGCUACUCCUCCAUUAAUCCCCAACCAUUGAACCUUCUUAACCAACCUUCCGUGAGGAACCUUGUCAAAGGCCUUACUGAAGUCCAUAUAUACAACAUCCACUGCUUUACCCUCAUCAAUUUCCCGAGUAACCUCUUCAAAAAAUUCAAGAAGAUUAGUCAAACAUGACCUUCCAGGCACAAAUCCAUGUUGACUGUUCCUAAUCAGACCCUGUUUAUUCAGAUGCUUAUAUAUAUUAUCUCAUAAGUGUCAGUCUUGGAGUUAUGUUAGGCAUGGACAUUGUGAGCCAAAGUCCCUGUUUCUAGGUUGUGCUGUUCUAUGUUCUUUGGUAAAUGUGUUCUUAUUUCAUUAUUUUCAUUCAUUAAAGUUGUUUGUAAUUUAACACAAUGAGACUUGAUCAAUUUAUUUUGCUGCAGUAGGUGACUGUAUUCCUCUUGUGAAAUAUUAAGUCUGUGUUGCCUGAUUGAACAGUUCAAUGAUGGUCAGGACACAAUGUACAUUGCUGGAAGAAUUCAAACUGAUUUGGAUCCAUUUAUCAAUUACUUCCCGAAUAAAAUGUCUUUGUCGUGUCUCUGUGAAUUAUGUACAUGCAACAUGUUUUAAAUUCAAUAUUUCAUUAACAUUAAUGGGGUGGCAUAGUGGUGCAGUUGGUAGAGCUGCUGUCUCACAGCGUCAGAGAGCUAGGUUCGAUCCCGACCUUGGGUUCUGUGUAUGUGGUGUUUGCAAGAAACAGGCCCUUUGGCCCAUCAAGUCCACUCCAACCAUUCACUCUGGUUCUAUGUUAACUUGCUUUCUCAGCCACUCUCUACACAUUAGGGGCAAUUUUACAGACACCAAUUAAUCUGCAAAGCUGCACAUCUUUGGGAUGAGGGAAGAAAGCAGAGCAUUAGGGGGGAAGAGCAUGCGGUCGAGGGAGAAUGUGCAAACUCCACACAGACAGCACCCUAGGUCAGGAUCCAACCCAGGUGACUGGCGUGAGGCAGCAGCUCUACCAGCUGCACCACUGUGCCGUCGUUUGAUGGUUUCCAAACACCCAUUUCGAGUUGUAGAGUUUACAGGUUUGAGAGAUUUUAGGAGUUUGCUGUCAAAGUAGCCUGGAUGAAUAACUACAAUACAUUUAGUGGAUUGUCCACACGACAGCAACUCUGCACUGGUGGUAGGGGGAAAUUAACAUUUAAUGUGGUGGAUAGGAUGCCAGUCAUUUAGACUGGAUGGAAUACAAUUUAUUGGCUUCUGAUUAAUUAAUAAAUAUGUGCUCCUUGAGAACAUCAGUGGGUGAAUGUGAUAUCAAUCAGGAUGGAGACAGCAGCAUAACUUUACACCUCAGGUUAAUCAAGUGGUGAUGUUGGCUACAUUUUUUCUAUUGCAGCUCACACUAUUCGGUUCGGGUCUGGUGGCAUAGUGGCACAGCUGGUAGAGCUGCUGCCUUAGAGCGCCAGAGACCUGGGUUCAAUCCUGACCUCGAAUGCUGACUGCGUGCAGUUUGCAUGUUCUUCCUGUGACUGUGAAUGUGGAAUUCUUUGCCACAGAAGGCUGUGGAGGCCAAGUCAGUAGAUAUUUUGAAGGCAGAGAAAUAUUUUUGAUUAGUACAGGUGUCAGAGGUUAUGGGGAGAAGGCAGGAGAAUAGGGUUAGGAGGGAGAGAUAGAUCAGCCAUGAUUGAACGGCGGAAUAGACUUGAUGGGCCGAAUAGCCUAAUUCGACUAUCACAUGACCUUAUGGCCACGUGGGUUUUCCCCAGGUGCUCAGGUUUUCUCUCACAUCGCAAAAACAUGCAGAUAUGCAAUUUAAUUGCCCUCUGUAAAUUGCCCCUGUUGUGUAGGGAGUGGAUGAGGAAGAGGGAUAGCAUAUCGUGUGAAUGGGUAAUUUAUGGUCGAUGGGACACAGUAGGCCGAGGGACCUGUUCCCAUUCUGAGAUUUCCGGUUGAAUCAAUUGGGUGAGAAAGAGAUGUAGAUGCAACAUUUUCACAAAGAUUCUCACCAACUUCUAAAUGAACCAUGAACCACAACUGGGCAUUUGCUAGAGACACCCAGUCUUGAAUGUACUGAAUUAAUUACACAUAAGCCUGAAUCUUCAGAAGUCUUUCCUCAAUAAUACUAGGACCUGUUCUUCUUAGCUACCGAGUCUAUGUGGACCAUUAACCACCUCGUUUACACUAAUUAUUUGUGAGUCCCAGUUUUUUAACUUUCCAAACAUUUCCAUUAAUCUGUCUCUCUUACACCCCGUCUUCCACUCAUCCACACACUCAGUGGAAAAUUAAACUCCCAAUCUACAUAAAUUUGGGAUGUGGGAGGAAACCAGAGCUUCCCAAGGAAACCCACACAGUCACAGGGAAACGUGCCAACUCCAUGCAGAGCGGGCCCGGUCAGGAUUUAAUGCUGGUGCCUGGUACUGCAAGGCAGUAGUUCCACUAACUAUGUCACUGUGCUGCCCUGGUGGAAAAUCUCACCAUUACUUUGUUUUCGUAGUGAUCGUGUCCAUGUUUAUCACGUGGACACAUCGCGAACGGUCCUGUGAGAUAAGAUUCUGUUGUUCAACUGAGGCAAAGUUCAGCUGGGCCAUUGUCAGAUGGUACAGUUCAACAAGUGUUUAUGCUAGAUGGUCUGAUUCACCUGUGCUAUGCAUGAUUUAUCAUCAGUUAUCAGUUGACAGAUAAUUUAAUGUCCCUGUGUCUAAGCUUAUCUGAAGACGAUAAAAGUGAGUCCAACAUGGUUUAGCCAGCAUUAAAGUUCUUCACACAUAAUUUUCAGGUUUCUAGAAUUCACACAAUUUCAUUUUUGUUUAUAAGAAAGCUAAAUAAUAGGAAUAAGGUUAUUCCUAUUGUUAGCAAUGUUAAAAAAAAAAGAUUAUUCCUUCUGAAAGAUUACAAUGACCAUUGUAAUAGUCAAGUCUCAUAGCAACAAAGGUAUAAACAAGAUUUCACUUGCUGAUGAACUGAGGCAGGACAAAACCAGAUAAAACCAGACAGAGACAGCAACCUCAAGAUCUCCCAUAUCACAGGAGUUCUGCCUAGUACCCAGCACAUUGAUGCAACCAUAAUGUGUCCAUCAACAUCUCUAUUUCCUUAGAAAAUAGAGGAGGUUCAGUAUGAUGACAAUUGGUCCCUUGAAAUUCUACAGGUGUAUGGUAGAGAGCAUACUUAGCGAAGAUUUAUGUGGAUGCUACAAGGACUAGAGGCUGUGAACUAUAGGGAGAGGUUGAGUAGGCUGGUCUCUAUUCCUUGGAGUACAGGAGGAUGAGGUGUUAUAGAGGUGCAUAAAAUCAUUAGAGGAAUAGAUCGGGUAGAUGCACAGUCUCUUGCCUAGAGUAGGGGAAUUGAGGACCAGAUGAUAUAGGUUCAAGGUGAAGGGGAAAAGAUUUAAUAGGAAUCUGAGGGGUAACUUUUUCACACAAAAGGUGGUGGGUGUAUGGAACAAGUUGCCAGAGGAGAUAGUUGAGGCUGGGACUAUUACAAUGUUUAAGAAACAGUUAGACAGGUACAUGGAUAGGACAGAUUUGGAGGAAU